rnacentral:rRNA from 1 species
GACGAACGCUGGCGGCGUGCUUAACACAUGCAAGUCGAACGGAAAGGCCCUGCUUUUGUGGGGUGCUCGGGUGGCGAACGGGUGAUUAACACGUGAGUAACCUGCCCUUGACUUUGGGAUAACUUCAGGAAACUGGGGCUAAUACCGGAUAGGAGCUCCUGCUGCAUGGUGGGGGUUGGAAAGUUUCGGCGGUUGGGGAUGGACUCGCGGCUUAUCAGCUUGGUGGUGGGGUAGUGGCUUACCAAGGCUUUGACGGGUAGCCGGCCUGAGAGGGUGACCGGCCACAGUGGGACUGAGAUACGGCCCAGACGGCUACGGGAGGCAGCAGUGGGGAAUAUUGCACAAUGGGCGGAAGCCUGAUGCAGCAACGCCGCGUGCGGGAUGACGGCCUUCGGGUUGUAAACCGCUUUCGCCUGUGACGAAGCGUGAGGGACGGUAAUGGGUAAAGAAGCACCGGCUAACUACGU